AGAGUUUGAUCAUGGCUCAGAUUGAACGCUGGCGGCAGGCCUAACACAUGCAAGUCGAGCGGUAGCACAGAGAGCUUGCUCUCGGGUGACGAGCGGCGGACGGGUGAGUAAUGUCUGGGAAACUGCCUGAUGGAGGGGGAUAACUACUGGAAACGGUAGCUAAUACCGCAUAACGUCGCAAGACCAAAGUGGGGGACCUUCGGGCCUCAUGCCAUCAGAUGUGCCCAGAUGGGAUUAGCUAGUAGGUGGGGUAACGGCUCACCUAGGCGACGAUCCCUAGCUGGUCUGAGAGGAUGACCAGCCACACUGGAACUGAGACACGGUCCAGACUCCUACGGGAGGCAGCAGUGGGGAAUAUUGCACAAUGGGCGCAAGCCUGAUGCAGCCAUGCCGCGUGUGUGAAGAAGGCCUUCGGGUUGUAAAGCACUUUCAGCGGGGAGGAAGGCGNNCGAUUGACGUUACCCGCAGAAGAAGCACCGGCUAACUCCGUGCCAGCAGCCGCGGUAAUACGGAGGGUGCAAGCGUUAAUCGGAAUUACUGGGCGUAAAGCGCACGCAGGCGGUCUGUCAAGUCGGAUGUGAAAUCCCCGGGCUCAACCUGGGAACUGCAUUCGAAACUGGCAGGCUAGAGUCUUGUAGAGGGGGGUAGAAUUCCAGGUGUAGCGGUGAAAUGCGUAGAGAUCUGGAGGAAUACCGGUGGCGAAGGCGGCCCCCUGGACAAAGACUGACGCUCAGGUGCGAAAGCGUGGGGAGCAAACAGGAUUAGAUACCCUGGUAGUCCACGCCGUAAACGAUGUCGAUUUGGAGGUUGUGCCCUUGAGGCGUGGCUUCCGGAGCUAACGCGUUAAAUCGACCGCCUGGGGAGUACGGCCGCAAGGUUAAAACUCAAAUGAAUUGACGGGGGCCCGCACAAGCGGUGGAGCAUGUGGUUUAAUUCGAUGCAACGCGAAGAACCUUACCUGGUCUUGACAUCCACAGAACUUNUUGGUGCCUUCGGGAACUGUGAGACAGGUGCUGCAUGGCUGUCGUCAGCUCGUGUUGUGAAAUGUUGGGUUAAGUCCCGCAACGAGCGCAACCCUUAUCCUUUGUUGCCAGCGGUUCGGCCGGGAACUCAAAGGAGACUGCCAGUGAUAAACUGGAGGAAGGUGGGGAUGACGUCAAGUCAUCAUGGCCCUUACGACCAGGGCUACACACGUGCUACAAUGGCAUAUACAAAGAGAAGCGACCUCGCGAGAGCAAGCGGACCUCAUAAAGUAUGUCGUAGUCCGGAUUGGAGUCUGCAACUCGACUCCAUGAAGUCGGAAUCGCUAGUAAUCGUAGAUCAGAAUGCUACGGUGAAUACGUUCCCGGGCCUUGUACACACCGCCCGUCACACCAUGGGAGUGGGUUGCAAAAGAAGUAGGUAGCUUAACCUUCGGGAGGGCGCUUACCACUUUGUGAUUCAUGACUGGGGUGAAGUCGUAACAAGGUAACCGUAGGGGAACCUGCGGUUGGAUCACCU
rnacentral:rRNA from 1 species